CCUACGGGUGGCUGCAGUGGGGAAUAUUGGACAAUGGGGGCAACCCUGAUCCAGCCAUGCCGCGUGUGUGAAGAAGGCCCUCGGGUUGUAAAGCACUUUCUGUGAGGAAGAACGCCUGGUGGUUAAUACCCAUCAGGAAAGACAUCACUCACAGAAGAAGCACCGGCUAACUCCGUGCCAGCAGCCGCGGUAAUACGGAGGGUGCGAGCGUUAAUCGGAAUUACUGGGCGUAAAGCGCGCGUAGGUGGCUUGAUAAGCCGGUUGUGAAAGCCCCGGGCUCAACCUGGGAACGGCAUCCGGAACUGUCAAGCUAGAGUGCAGGAGAGGAAGGUAGAAUUCCCGGUGUAGCGGUGAAAUGCGUAGAGAUCGGGAGGAAUACCAGUGGCGAAGGCGGCCUUCUGGACUGACACUGACACUGAGGUGCGAAAGCGUGGGUAGCAAACAGGAUUAGAUACCCGUGUAGUC
rnacentral:rRNA from 1 species